rnacentral:rRNA from 1 species
GCUCAACCGAGGAAGUGCUUCGAAAACUGGUAAAAUUGAGUGCAGAAGAGGAAAGUGGAACUCCGUGUGUAGCGGUGGAAUGCGUAGAUAUAUGGAAGAACACCAGUGGCGAAGGCGGCUUUCUGGUCUGUAACUGACGCUGAGAUUCGAAAGCAUGGGUAGCAAACAGGAUUAGAUACCCUGGUAGUCCAUGCCGUAAACGAUGAGUGCUAAGUGUUGGAGGGUUUCCGCCCUUCAGUGCUGCAGCUAACGCAUUAAGCACUCCGCCUGGGGAGUACGAUCGCAAGAUUGAAACUCAAAGGAAUUGACGGGGGCCCGCACAAGCGGUGGAGCAUGUGGUUUAAUUCGAAGCAACGCGAAGAACCUUACCAGGUCUUGACAUACCAUGAAAAGCUUAGAGAUAAGUCUUUCCCUUCGGGGACAUGGAUACAGGUGGUGCAUGGUUGUCGUCAGCUCGUGUCGUGAGAUGUUGGGUUAAGUCCCGCAACGAGCGCAACCCUUAUUAUCAGUUGCCAGCAUUCAGUUGGGCACUCUGGUGAGACUGCCGGUGAUAAACCGGAGGAAGGUGGGGACGACGUCAAAUCAUCAUGCCCCUUAUGACCUGGGCUACACACGUGCUACAAUGGUCGGUACAACG